rnacentral:lncRNA from 1 species
UCCAUUCAAAAAAUGACAACGUAAUUGCUAUCUCCUCCAGCAAGUGCACGGAACCAGUGGAGCUAUGUCGCUCCCUAAAGGAUUCAUAGGCCCGUCCUCUCAUUGUAAAUUCGUCCAUAGAGAUUUUGUGAGAUAAAAAGAUUAACAGCAUCCUUGAGUAACUGCAGAACCGAGUAUGAUCCCUUCAACAUCUAUAUGAAGAUCCGCUACAAUAAAUGCCGAUGAAUUGCACGAGUAAUGAAACCAAAGCUUCAAGUUCUCGUAAACUUGGCAAGUUGAAACAAUGAGGUCUCAUGUAGCCUCCUUGCAUCAGUAACGAACUGAAUCAUCGUAGCAUUGUGCAAAUGCCUCGACUUCUAGCUCCGUCGUAGACAACUCCUACUUCCAUCAUCUGAUUCAAAGCAACAUCAAUCGAAAUAACCUAUGAUGGAAUACCUGCAGUCUGUUCAUGAAAUCGAAGCUCAAUCCAGCAUGCUAAAUUGAGACCUCGUGGUUAUCACUCAAAUGUCAAGACAAUUGAGUUUCAACAUAGGACUAACACUUAGAGUGCUCCGAAGUCCAUCAAACAUUGCCCACCUGCAGACAACCCAGUUGUAACUCUGGCGAGAUGGGUAAACCCCAAACCUACAACGUCAUUGACAACCCUUAGCUACUACCAAAGGUGCUUUCCGUUUUAACAAAAAUCAAAACAUUCUGCCGGAACUGGCCACGGAAAUCAGCAACCUCCAAAUUUGAGACCUCAUAACACCCAACUAUUCUCUUCGAAUCCUCAGUGUUCCAAAAACCGAGAGAUUUUGGUCGCAACU